AUUUAUAUAGUUUAAUAAAAACAUUACAUUUUCAUUGUAAAAUUAAUUCUUAUUUAUAAAUA
rnacentral:tRNA from 1 species